CAGACACUCAGCCCCUCCACGGCAGCUAUAGACACGUUCCUCUCAGACGUUAGCCUCCCGACCCGAUCAGCUACCGAUGCCAGUUUACCACAGAGGAGAUUGCCUCUGUAAUCUCUUCACUCCCAUCACACAAAGCCCCAGGCCCUGAUGGCCUAUCUAACAAAUAUCACACUUACUCUAGUAUCCUCUCCCAGCCCCUUAGAG